rnacentral:rRNA from 1 species
UUGGGCGUAAAGGGCUCGUAGGCGGUUUGUCGCGUCGGGAGUGAAAACUCAGGGCUUAACCCUGAGCCUGCUUCCGAUACGGGCAGACUGGAGGUAUGCAGGGGAGAACGGAAUUCCUGGUGUAGCGGUGAAAUGCGCAGAUAUCAGGGAANNGGAACACCGGUGGCGAAGGCGGUUCUCUGGGCAUUACCUGACGCUGAGGAGCGAAAGUGUGGGGAGCGAACAGGAUUAGAUACCCUGGUAGUCCACACCGUAAACGUUGGGCGCUAGGUGUGGGAUCCAUUCCACGGGUUCCGUGCCGCAGCUAACGCAUUAAUCGCCCCGCCUGGGGAGUACGGCCGCAAGGCUAAAACUCAAAGGAAUUGACGGGGGCCCGCACAAGCGGCGGAGCAUGCGGAUUAAUUCGAUGCAACGCGAAGAACCUUACCUGGGUUUGACAUAUGCCGGAAAGCUCCAGAGAUGGAGCCCCUUUUAGUCGGUAUACAGGUGGUGCAUGGCUGUCGUCAGCUCGUGUCGUGAGAUGUUGGGUUAAGUCCCGCAACGAGCGCAACCCUCGUUCUAUGUUGCCAGCACGUAAUGGUGGGGACUCAUAGGAGACUGCCGGGGUCAACUCGGAGGAAGGUGGGGAUGACGUCAAGUCAUCAUGCCCCUUAUGUCCAGGGCUUCACGCAUGCUACAAUGGCCGGUACAAAGGGCUGCGAUCCCGUGAGGGGGAGCGAAUCCCAAAAAGCCGGUCUCAGUUCAGAUUGGGGUCUGCAACUCGACCCCAUGAAGUCGGAGUCGCUAGUAAUCGC